UACGGGGGAUGCGAGCGUUGUCCGGAUUUACUGGGCGUAAAGGGCGCGUAGGCGGCCCGGUCAGUCGGCGCUCUAAGUGCGGGGCUCAACCCCGUGAUGGCGCCGGGACGGCCGGGCUGGGGCGCGGCAGAGGGAGACGGAAUGCCGGGUGUAGUGGUGAAAUGCGUAGAGAUCCGGCGGAACACCGGUGGCGAAGGCGGUCUCCUGGGCCGAGGGCCGACGCUGAGGCGCGAGAUCGUGGGGAGCGAACCGG
rnacentral:rRNA from 1 species